rnacentral:rRNA from 1 species
AUUGAACGCUGGCGGCAGGCCUAACACAUGCAAGUCGAACGAGGGGCGGACGGGUGAGUAAUGUCUGGGAACCUGCGUGAUGGAGGGGGAAAACUACUGGAAACGGUAGAUAAUACCGCUUACCCUCAGAUGUGCCAAGAUGGGAUUAGCUAGUUGGUGGGGUAAAGGCACACCAAGGCGACGAUGCAUAGCAGGUCUGAGAGGAUGACCGGCCACACUGGAACGGAGACACGGCCCAGACUCCUACGGGAGGCAGCAGUGGGGAAUAUUCGGCAAUGGACGAAAGUCUGACCCAGCCACGCCGCGUGAGUGAAGAAGGUCUUCGGAUUGUAAAACUCUUUUGGUAGAGAAGCGGUAUCUAACCAGAAAGCAACGGCUAACUACGUGCCAGCAGCCGCGGUAAUUC